rnacentral:rRNA from 1 species
GGGUUGUGAGGUUAAGCGACUAAGCGUACACGGUGGAUGCCCUGGCAGUCAGAGGCGAUGAAGGGCGUGCUAAUCUGCGAUAAGCGCCGGUAAGGUGAUAUGAACCGUUAUAACCGGCGAUACCCGAAUGGGGAAACCCAGUGUGAUUCGUCACACUAUCAUUAACUGAAUCCAUAGGUUAAUGAGGCGAACCGGGGGAACUGAAACAUCUAAGUACCCCGAGGAAAAGAAAUCAACCGAGAUUCCCCCAGUAGCGGCGAGCGAACGGGGAGGAGCCCAGAGCCUGAAUCAGCAUGUGUGUUAGUGGAAGCGUCUGGAAAGGCGCGCGAUACAGGGUGACAGCCCCGUACACAAAAGCGCAUGUGCUGUGAGCUCGAUGAGUAGGGCGGGACACGUGGUAUCCUGUCUGAAUAUGGGGGGACCAUCCUCCAAGGCUAAAUACUCCUGACUGACCGAUAGUGAACCAGUACCGUGAGGGAAAGGCGAAAAGAACCCCGGCGAGGGGAGUGAAAAAGAACCUGAAACCGUGUACGUACAAGCAGUGGGAGCCCCACCACCAAAGCAUUCUCUGGUGUUGAAGGCCCUGCAAAGCAGCAUCGCGGUGGCGGAGCGUCGUUUGCGACGCCCAACACACAAAACAAGCGGUGAAUGCUUUGGGGUGGGGUGACUGCGUACCUUUUGUAUAAUGGGUCAGCGACUUAUAUUCUGUAGCAAGGUUAACCGAAUAGGGGAGCCGGAGGGAAACCGAGUCUUAAUUGGGCGUUAAGUUGCAGGGUAUAGACCCGAAACCCGGUGAUCUAGCCAUGGGCAGGUUGAAGGUUGGGUAACACUAACUGGAGGACCGAACCGACUAAUGUUGAAAAAUUAGCGGAUGACCUGUGGCUGGGGGUGAAAGGCCAAUCAAACCGGGAGAUAGCUGGUUCUCCCCGAAAGCUAUUUAGGUAGCGCCUCGUGAAUUCAUCUCCGGGGGUAGAGCACUGUUUCGGCUAGGGGGCCAUCCCGGCUUACCAACCCGAUGCAAACUGCGAAUACCGGAGAAUGUUAUCACGGGAGACACACGGCGGGUGCUAACGUCCGUCGUGAAGAGGGAAACAACCCAGACCGCCAGCUAAGGUCCCAAAGUCAUGGUUAAGUGGGAAACGAUGUGGGAAGGCCCAGACAGCCAGGAUGUUGGCUUAGAAGCAGCCAUCAUUUAAAGAAAGCGUAAUAGCUCACUGGUCGAGUCGGCCUGCGCGGAAGAUGUAACGGGGCUAAACCAUGCACCGAAGCUGCGGCAGCGANUGCUGGAGGUAUCAGAAGUGCGAAUGCUGACAUAAGUAACGAUAAAGCGGGUGAAAAGCCCGCUCGCCGGAAGACCAAGGGUUCCUGUCCAACGUUAAUCGGGGCAGGGUGAGUCGACCCCUAAGGCGAGGCCGAAAGGCGUAGUCGAUGGGAAACGGGUUAAUAUUCCCGUACUUGGUGUUACUGCGAAGGGGGGACGGAGAAGGCUAUGUUGGCCGGGCGACGGUUGUCCCGGUUUAAGCGUGUAGGUGUGUGUUCCAGGUAAAUCCGGUUCACUUUAACACUGAGGCGUGACGACGAGGCACUACGGUGCUGAAGCAACAAAUGCCCUGCUUCCAGGAAAAGCCUCUAAGCAUCAGGUAACACGAAAUCGUACCCCAAACCGACACAGGUGGUCAGGUAGAGAAUACCAAGGCGCUUGAGAGAACUCGGGUGAAGGAACUAGGCAAAAUGGUGCCGUAACUUCGGGAGAAGGCACGCUGACACGUAGGUGAAGUGAUUUACUCACGGAGCUGAAGUCAGUCGAAGAUACCAGCUGGCUGCAACUGUUUAUUAAAAACACAGCACUGUGCAAACACGAAAGUGGACGUAUACGGUGUGACGCCUGCCCGGUGCCGGAAGGUUAAUUGAUGGGGUCAGCGUAAGCGAAGCUCCUGAUCGAAGCCCCGGUAAACGGCGGCCGUAACUAUAACGGUCCUAAGGUAGCGAAAUUCCUUGUCGGGUAAGUUCCGACCUGCACGAAUGGCGUAAUGAUGGCCAGGCUGUCUCCACCCGAGACUCAGUGAAAUUGAACUCGCUGUGAAGAUGCAGUGUACCCGCGGCAAGACGGAAAGACCCCGUGAACCUUUACUAUAGCUUGACACUGAACAUUGAGCCUUGAUGUGUAGGAUAGGUGGGAGGCUUUGAAGUGUGGACGCCAGUCUGCAUGGAGCCGACCUUGAAAUACCACCCUUUAAUGUUUGAUGUUCUAACGUGGACCCGUAAUCCGGGUUGCGGACAGUGUCUGGUGGGUAGUUUGACUGGGGCGGUCUCCUCCUAAAGAGUAACGGAGGAGCACGAAGGUUGGCUAAUCCUGGUCGGACAUCAGGAGGUUAGUGCAAUGGCAUAAGCCAGCUUGACUGCGAGCGUGACGGCGCGAGCAGGUGCGAAAGCAGGUCAUAGUGAUCCGGUGGUUCUGAAUGGAAGGGCCAUCGCUCAACGGAUAAAAGGUACUCCGGGGAUAACAGGCUGAUACCGCCCAAGAGUUCAUAUCGACGGCGGUGUUUGGCACCUCGAUGUCGGCUCAUCACAUCCUGGGGCUGAAGUAGGUCCCAAGGGUAUGGCUGUUCGCCAUUUAAAGUGGUACGCGAGCUGGGUUUAGAACGUCGUGAGACAGUUCGGUCCCUAUCUGCCGUGGGCGCUGGAGAACUGAGGGGGGCUGCUCCUAGUACGAGAGGACCGGAGUGGACGCAUCACUGGUGUUCGGGUUGUCAUGCCAAUGGCACUGCCCGGUAGCUAAAUGCGGAAGAGAUAAGUGCUGAAAGCAUCUAAGCACGAAACUUGCCCCGAGAUGAGUUCUCCCUGAGACUUAGAGUCUCCUGAAGGAACGUUGAAGACGACGACGUUGAUAGGCCGGGUGUGUAAGCGCAGCGAUGCGUUGAGCUAACCGGUACUAAUGAACCGUGAGGCUUAACCUUACAACGCCGAAG